CAGCACCUCAAGUGGUCAGGAUGAUUAUUGGGCCUAAAGCAUCCGUAGCCGGCGCUGUAAGUUUUCGGUUAAAUCUGUACGCUCAACGUACAGGCUGCCGGGAAUACUGCAGCGCCAGGGAGUGGGAGAGGUAGACGGUACUCGGUAGGAAGGGGUAAAAUCCUUUGAUCUAUUGAUGACCACCUGUGGCGAAGGCGGUCUACCAGAACACGUCCGACGGUGAGGGAUGAAAGCUGGGGGAGCAAACCGGAUUAGAUACCCGAGUAGUCC
rnacentral:rRNA from 1 species